rnacentral:rRNA from 1 species
AAUAGAUACCCGGGUAGUCCACGCCGUAAACGGUGGGCGCUAGGUGUGGGGGACUUUCCACGUCCUCUGUGCCGCAGCUAACGCAUUAAGCGCCCCGCCUGGGGAGUACGGCCGCAAGGCUAAAACUCAAAGGAAUUGACGGGGGCCCGCACAAGCGGCGGAGCAUGUGGCUUAAUUCGACGCAACGCGAAGAACCUUACCAAGGCUUGACAUGCAGAGAAAUCUCGUAGAGAUACGGGGUCCGCAAGGGCUUUGCACAGGUGGUGCAUGGUUGUCGUCAGCUCGUGUCGUGAGAUGUUGGGUUAAGUCCCGCAACGAGCGCAACCCUUGUCCUAUGUUGCCAGCGAGUAAUGUCGGGGACUCAUAGGAGACUGCCGGGGUCAACUCGGAGGAAGGUGGGGAUGACGUCAAAUCAUCAUGCCCCUUAUGUCUUGGGCUGCACACAUGCUACAAUGGUCGGUACAAAGGGCUGCGAGACCGCAAGGUGGAGCGAAUCCCAAAAAGCCGGCCUCAGUUCGGAUUAGGGU